rnacentral:rRNA from 1 species
GACGAACCGUCCGAACGUUAUUCGGAAUCACUGGGCUUAAAGGGUGCGUAGGCGGCGCGGAAAGUUGGGUGUGAAAUCCCUCGGCUUAACCGAGGAACGGCGCCCAAAACUACCGUGCUCGAGGGAGAUAGAGGUGAGCGGAACUUAGGGUGGAGCGGUGAAAUGCGUUGAUAUCCUAAGGAACACCGGUGGCGAAGGCGCCGCUCUGGGCCGAAACUGACGCUGAGGAGCGAAAGCGUGGGGAGCGAACAGG